CAGCCAGCUGUUCACCACUUUCCUCCGACUGAAGACUGGCUCUUUUAUAGAGGAUCUUAUUGGGAGAAACCAUUCACAGGUGAGCCAUUAUAAAUACACAUGUCAUCAUAAUUGGUAUAACGAUAAUCUAUAAUAUUCUGUGCAUGUAUGAUCAGUGGUUUGUAGCCAGCUGUUAAUUUAACCCCAAAACCCACAUUAUAACUGACCAUAAUAGAAAUACAUUCCCAACUACAACAGAAACCCCUACGCCCAUCCCGCCACUUGGUUCGUCCCGGAACCUUCUUUAGUCAGUGUUUGUUUUCCCCCGAGGACCUUUUGGCCAAACACACUGGAGCGGACACAGGACGAAAUAGCAUGGGUGGAGCCGAGAACCGACCAGCAUCUGCCAGACGACAUUCCAAAUAAUACGGUUUAAUCAUUUAACAACUACUACAUCAAUAAAUAGUAUAUAUUAUAUAAAAAUGUGCAAAUAGGCCAUGUCAAACUGUACUGUGUAAAUCAUGCUAAUAAAGUGCAAACUGUUCACUAAA